rnacentral:rRNA from 1 species
AUUGAACGCUGGCGGCAGGCCUAACACAUGCAAGUCGAACGAGUGGCGGACGGGUGAGUAAUGUCCGGGAAACUGCCUGACGGAGGGGGAUAACUACUGGAAACGGUAGCUAAUACCGCAUACUAUCAGAUGUGCCCAGAUGGGAUUCGCUAGUGGGUGGGGUCACGGCUCACCAAGGCGACGACCCCUAGCUGGGCUGAGAGGAUGACAGGCCGCACCGGAACUGAGACACGGUCCAAACUCCUACGGGAGGCAGUAGUGGGGAAUAUUGCACAAGGGGCGCAAGCCUGAUGCAGCCAUGCCGCGUGUAUGAAGAAGGCCUUCGGGUUGUAAAGUACUUUCAGCGGGGAGGCGUUACCCGCAGAAGAAGCACCGGCUAACUCCGUGCCAGCAGCCGCGGUAAUUC